ACGUUUCUUCUGGAAAAGAGCAGCACCCGUAUAGAUGAACCCAGACACGCUCACAGCCAGGUUCUUGUAUCAUCCAACACCUCUUCAGCAUUCCCUGCUAAACGUUUGGCCUUUUGAUUCUAUCCAGCUCCUACUGGGCUCCCGGAGCACAGAAUCACACAGCCAUGAGCACACCCCACCCCAAAGCAGGUUCCCUACAGCAUGUUACAUAGGAAAGCACCCAGGUGGGCUUGGAGUAUCUUCAGAGCAGCAGACCCCUCUGGGCAGCCUGUUCUAGUGCUCUGUAACCCUAAAAGCAAAGCAUUUCUCACAUUCAAAUGGAACUUCCCGUGUUCCAGUUUGUGCUUGCUGCCCCUUACCCUGCUACUGAGCCCCAAGCACUCAUCCCCUUGGCACCACCCGUUAUAUACUGACAGGCACAUGUAAGCUAUAACCGUCAGGCCCUUCUGCCAGCUGUAGUAUGAGACUUGAGUAUCUGCAGGACACAGAAAUCUCUGAGGCUGAAUCUGGCCGUAGUUACAUGACUGGCAAUUUUUUCAGUUUGUAACAGGGUGGAAAAAUUACUUUCCUUUUUUUCGCCUUUUUUUCCUAGAAUAGAACAUCUCUUGGUUUUACUCAUACUCAGAUGACACUUUAAAACUGAAACAUUCUAACACCAUUCCAUUUCCCUAGCUACAAAAUUCCAGAGCCUUUGCAGUGAGUGUGCUUUGUCAGAGCCAGAGUGCAGCAGUCUGCUGUGCUCCUGGGAUGUGGCUGGGACUGGCAGGUGAUGCCAGAGGUGUUCUCCAGCAGUGUGAGGUGGGACAGCAAGGCCAGGAACAUGCAUCCAGCCUGGGAGGCAGAUGUUAAGCAGCCAUCAAACCCAGAGGAAUGAAAUGGCUACAUAAACCAUCUACAAAGGUUGAACAGAACAUUUGCUGUGAGAAGUACAUCAGGAAAUACUGUAUGAACUUCCAAAUAGGAUUUAGUCUUCCAAGCAGCUCGAGUACCCCACAGACCUAAAUCAGAUUUUGCAGAUGUUUCUUGCGUGCUUGGACACUGCUCCUGCCCAGCAAUUCAGUGAGAUUGGCGGUGAGAUGGUGAUUGAAAAGAAAUGCACAAUAAAAUCAGCAAGAGAAUUCCAGCAGUUCAUGUGUACAGGAGCUGGUGAAGUGGGGCAGCUGUUAAUGACUUCAGAUUGCCUGAAAAGGCUGGCCUCUGCAGGGCAAUGCUAUCCAGCUAUGGUGGGGCUGAAGCUACCCUGGCCUGACUUUACCUGGACUGCUGCUUUAUCUGCUGUUGAAUGCCACUGCUUUGAUACUGUAGGAGAAUUGUUGAGCAGCGAAUCAUGAAUCAGCAGCUUCCAAGUCUUUCCAGUCCCAGAAACUUCAAGGAGGGGCUGCCCUGCCAUCCCUGUACUCACACACACAUAUCCAUGCCUGAGCAUCUACCUACGAAUAGAUGAGAGCACAAAGCCACAGCCCAGGAAGGCUCUUUCAUCGCUUACUCAGAUGGGAGGAAAACAAAAACCUUCUCGAUCACCAGUGUGGUUUCACACUCAGCUCCAAGGAUGGUGCUGCUGAUCACAAAGGAAGAGCUGUGCUUCCCGUCGCUACAGGAUGGAAAUGACUGAAAAAGUGACAAGAGAUGCCUGUGAGCGCUACGAAGCAGAGGAAACUAUCCUUUAAUUUCCUUGUAUGGAUAGCAAAAAAUGCAUUUCAAGAGCUCGAGUAUUUUACUCUGCCAUGCUUUUGGGUAGUGCAAGACAUCAAGUGGAACACGCAUGGCAAGCAGAUUGUAGUUUGUUUCCUUUUAAGCAUUUGGUGUAGAGAGGGAAGGCUCCCAGCACAACAGUGCCAUGUGUAACACAUCGGCUGCUCCCAGCCUCCAGCAGGGAGGCUGCCAGCCCCAAGGGGCCGGGGAGGGAGGCUCAGACUGGGAUCAAGCUUGGAGCUUGCUUAAGGGAAUAAGAGAGGCUGAGGCAGCUGAAGAACUAGGGGUUUUGUUUCAUCCUCCCCUCUUAACUGAAGCUCCUAACCAUGUUACAAUUUCUCCAAAGUGCUGGGGAAUCUCACACAGUCACACGAGCCUAUUUCUGCUUUUCCCUAUAGCAAUGUGUGCAUGACUGCAAUAACUUUGAUUUGUUUUUCUUUAUAUAGUAAUAUCUUGUAGCCAUAUGUUUAAACUCUGUGUUUGGGAGCAGUAGUAAAGCUGUUUGUUUUCUCAUGCCAAUGGA